rnacentral:rRNA from 1 species
UACGGGGGGGGCAAGCGUUGUUCGGAAUUAUUGGGCGUAAAGAGCUCGUAGGCGGUGUGUCGCGUCGGCCGUGAAAACCUGCAGCUUAACUGUGGGCUUGCGGUCGAUACGGGCAUCACUGGAGUUCGGCAGGGGAGACUGGAAUUCCUGGUGUAGCGGUGAAAUGCGCAGAUAUCAGGAGGAACACCGGUGGCGAAGGCGGCAUCCUGGACCGGUAUUGACGCUGAGGCGCGAAAGCCAGGGGAGCAAACGGG